rnacentral:lncRNA from 1 species
UUCUUUUUUAAAAAAAAGAUUUUUCUGGCUUUAACCAAAAAAGGUUUAUUGUUAUUAUAAUUUAUUUUUUGGCUUGCACCAUCCCACGCUAUUGUUGAGUAAAUGUUCAUAAACCCUAAUACAAAAUCAGAAUUUGACGAAUCCAUGCUGUUGAGCUUCAAAGUUUAAAAUUCCCCUUCUCAUACUUCUCGCCAACCCAAUUUCAUAUAAAAUACAGGAGACGCUUCUUUGACGUUUGAGCUAAACAUUAUAUUUGAUGAUGUUCGAUAUUUCUAUCCAAAUCCGUCCAAGAAUCUGUUUUUCCACACUAUAUUUUAUUCAACCAGGUAAAACAUUAAGAGCUUUAUCUGUUUAUCAAUUUUAUUGGACGAUUUUUCGCUAGUCCGAAAAAGUUACGUUUUUUCCCUGGUUUUUACAUUCAUAAAGUUUUGACGCUUACUGCGUUCCUUCCAAUUUCGGGCUUGACAGCUGGAUUAGGUUAUAUUAUUAUUAUUAUUAUUAUUAUUAUUAUUAUUAUUAUUAUUAUUAUUAUUAUUAUUAUUAUUAUUAUUUCGUUAAGGCUUACUGAUUAGUUCAUUAAUUUCCAGUUAAUGCUUGUUGGAUGAUAUAUAUAUUUUUUAAUUUAUAUUUUCAAUUGGUAUCAUUAAUCUCAUGGUAUUUGAGGUUGAUGUAGAUUCAGCCCCGUUUGGUAGCUAUUUUCUUCAAAAUAUAUUUUUCUCCCUCUUUUUUUCAACCACACAUUCUUUAUUAAAAUAAUAUUAUACGUAAAUAAAAAUUUUUUCCUUAUUUUUCAACCACACAUUUAUAAUAAAUUUACUAUUCUAAAAUACAUUUUUACAUAAAAAUAUCUAUCAAACACCCCCUAAUCUUUCACUAUGCUGAUUUUUUCAGUGUAAAUAUAGAUUUUCUUGAUUUUGAAGUUCAGCACUUCAGUCAUAUUAACAUAUUUACAUUUAUUGAACGAGGAAUUGAGAUACAGGCUUCUAUUGAAGUCUGCUGGAUGAAUGAUGAAGUUUAUGGUUUUGUUUAAUUCCUUUUGUCAAUUUAAGCAAGUGAAGCAGCACUGUUGUAGUGUUCAUUGUGCUUUCAAGUUCCAGGAUGCAAUUGAGCUUGAUAUUAGGCUAUCACAAUUCAUCAUUGUUCUUGACAUUUUUGUUUAGUUUUUCUUCAUUCUAUAUUUUAAAAGGUUUUGGCAUAUCCUCUGAUUUUGUUUCUUCUUUGAGAGAGAAGAAAGAAUUCCAUACUUCAUUACUCCAUUUUGAUGUCAUAGGUUCCGCGUGUGGGUUAAACAGGAGAUUUGUGCUUUCAAGUUCCAGGAUGCAAUUGAGCUUGAUAUUAGGCUAUCACAAUUCAUCAUUGUUCUUGACAUUUUUGUUUAGUUUUUCUUCAUUCUAUAUUUUAAAAGGUUUUGGCAUAUCCUCUGAUUUUAUUUCUUCUUUGAGAGAGAAGAAAGAAUUCCAUACUUCAUUACUCCAUUUUGAUGUCAUAGGUUCCGCGUGUGGGUUAAACAGGAGACUUGCUGGGGUCAAUUUACAUAUUAUUAAUUUUCUAAGUAGGUUUUUGCACCUUUAAUUUAGGAACAUGAUACUUUCAGUUUAAAGGUUGUCUUUUAUAUUUACUCUGACAGUCACUUUUUCAUACAGAGGAGCACCUUUGUAUUGGGUUUUUUGUUUUUGUUUCUGUUAGUUUUUUAAUUGUGGAGAGAGUACAUUUUCUUUCUUGUAGUUUUUAAGCUCUGCACUGCUUUCUACUGUUGAAAAUUAAUUUGACACUAUUAAUUUCCAGGGAUUUAAGACCCUCUUGCUUCACUCAUACGUUUCAUUUUUCAGUAAGAUCUGUUUUAACACGUCAAAAUCAGAUUUAAUGGUUAAAGGUUUAAACAUACCUUUAACCAUUAAUGGAACUGAACCGAAACCCACCGGUCUGGUUCCUGUGCUGUGUAUGAAACCAUUGGUUCAGUCUGGUUCUCUUAAACUGGACAUGCCCACCCCUAAACCAUCGGUGCAGGGUAAGCCUUUAGCUUAAUAAUCUUCUCUCUGCAGAUAAAAACAUGUGCAUAUUUCUAUACAUGCUUAAAUACGUGUUUAUGUCAAGAUACAUGUACAUAUUUGGAUAUAUCUGCAUGUUAGUAUACCAAUAUCAGCCAGUAAUUAUUCCAGUAAGCUUUUCUUGUGAGCCCAUAAUUUAUUUUUAAUCCCUUUUACCUUUUGUUGGGAGCUUAAUUUUUUAUACCAUAUCGUUGUUACCAUGUUCAUAUUAUAAUUAAUAUUUUUGUUCCUGUUAUAUCAUCUUCAGCGCUCAGAAAACCAUUCUAACCAUUCAAAAAGUAAAAAUAAAAAGGAGAGAGGAUGGAAAAUGGUGGAGUCGUACAAAGUGAUAGGGCAAAAGAGAAAGAAGACAGAGAAGUACGAGAAGAAGAAUCUGAACAAUUAGAUGAAAGUGAUACACCACUUUCACCAAAGAAAAUAAAGGCAGAAGACUCAGAGUUAGACUAGGAGAAAGCAGAGCAAGUUAUUUAUGAAAUGCCCGGAAUCCCUAUUAUUCCGGCAGACAUGGGGCAAGUGACCUGGGGUUAUUUUUAUUUUAGAAAAGGCCUCUCUAGAAAUUGAGAAAGUUGGAAAGGUCUUUUUCUUUCUUUUUUUUUUUUGUUUGGUUGGGGUUUCUCUAUUUCUUCAGUAUUCUCUCUGUCCAAUUAUUGUCAUAAA